CGGGCGGGUAGGUGGUGUAAUCUAGUGAGCGUUUAUUUUCGGGGAGGGGGGGGUUGAGUCCCAUUCCGUUCAAUCGCUCGCCCUUCCUGUCGUCGGGUGGGCCAAGCCUUUUGUGUCUCUUGGGAUCCUAAGCGUGCCCCUCUGGAAGUCAGCGCAGUUGACUAGUGUGGGGCUAGCCUGCGAGUCAAAGUGCAUAGGAUCGAGCUCCAUUUUAGUUACUCUGCAAAAGAAUAACGGUCCAGUCAGACACGGAGACUUUUAAGGCAUCCUCUUGUUUGGCUUCCCCGUCCCCUCCAAGGCCGCGGUUGCGCUGUUUCGGUGCCUUCUCUUCUGCGUACACUGCGCUCCUAGAGGUUUCCUCUGUCCCUAAGGCGCUAGUCCGUAGGGUGGCAGAGAUUUCGCAGGCUCGAUGUGUGGGUCAAUCCAUACGCACAUCUACGGCGUUUUUCUUACACUCCUUGCCACGCUUCUACCCCCCCCCCGUUGGUUCUGCACAGGAGCAUGAAGUGGAGAGACCUCCCGGGUAAUAAAACAGCGAGAAUAGAAGUGCUUCCUUUGGCUUGUUUUUAAAGGAUGGCAUCGCUCGCGUGAUCUCUCUGAAAGAGAUCACUCUGAAUCGGGUGAGGGAAAUGAGCCGGAGGAAGCAGCGCGAAACUCCUGUUUUAAAGUUACACAAGUCUCACCAUUUAUUCGAAAUAAAAGGAGAAUCACAGAACGAACACUCACAAAUGACUUAUUUGAAAUUGUAUACUUAAUCAUAAUUGUUUCCUUCUUUCCCCUUCUCCAACCUCCCUUAUUUAAAACAUUCUUGUCAGCAAAUACAUUAGACAUUAAUUGUUUUGUGUCUCCAGUAUGCAUUGGUGUUAAUUUGCUCAGGAGUAAAUCAAGAUAUUCAAUGAGAAUUUCUUCUUUUUUGUUUUGGAUUUUGGCCUUGUAGUAGAAAUGUGUAUGUAUCUAUUCAGAAGUUAAAUUUUAUUUAGUUCAAUAUGUCUUAUUAGUAUAGGAUUGCAAAUUUUAAAAAAAUACUCAGCUGUGUCUCUGUAAUGCUGACAGUCACUAAACAAACUGAAUCUCAUCAACCAGAUGAAUGUGUCAAGGCCCAUAUGAUACAGCAUUAGCUACAUUUUAUUAUCUCCCCUUAUAUAAUAUGUGAACCUACAUAAUUUUAUACCAUGAGAAUUGAUCAAAAGAGCAAUUAUUUUACUCAUACAUUUUCCUAUAUUCUCCACCAUUACAGUUUGGAAUGAUUUUUCCCCUUUGCAUUCUCACUGCUACCAAAGUUUUUAAAUAAAAUAACACAAUGCUUAUUGCCCA
rnacentral:lncRNA from 1 species